rnacentral:tRNA from 1 species
GCCGGUGUAGCUCAGUUGGCAGAGCAGCUGUUUUGUAAACAGCAGGUCGUGGGUUCGAAUCCCUCCGCCGGCU